rnacentral:tRNA from 2 species
GCGGGAAUAGCUCAGUUGGUAGAGCACGACCUUGCCAAGGUCGGGGUCGCGAGUUCGAGUUCUCGUUUCCCGCUCCA